AUCAGCUAAAAACAGGGGAGAUUCUUGCAAAAAGAAGGAAAAACAGGGGACGAACGCGAGCCUGCUUGCCGCGACCAAAAGCCGUCGGUUGCCGGCCGGACUGCCGCAGCGCAGCUUGCGACGAGCCCACGUCCAGCGACAGGCUUCCCUCCCGCUCCACCGUGCCGGCGUCGCCCUCCCCUCCCUCUCUCCCCCUCUCCUUCCUUGGCCAAUCGCCUGUGGGCUGACAGUUCGCCACCGCCGUCGCUCGUGGAUCAGACGCUCGCCGGGCGCCACCGCCUGGACUACUCUGCCGACCCGUUCCCUGCGCAUCACUGCAACUACCCGCGGUUAAUGUUGAUGCGACAAUCUCGCGGCGAGGAGCGCGUGCGGAAGGCUAGCAAGCACAUGCUGCGCGCCCGUGGCCCGUUCGAUGAAAUUCCUCGCCGGGGCGCCUCGCGGCGGUGGCUGCUGGCGCCGAGGAUGCUGUUGCGGGUGUACGUGGGCAUCCUGGCGCGCGGAGCCAGGCCCUACGCGCGCCGUUGCUCAAUGCGCGCGCCAUGGAGCGGGCUGCCGGGGACGCCGUUCAUGCGCACGUCGUGGCUAAGUUUGGGCUAGAGCUCAACCUCAACGCCCACUUGCCAAAGCUCGCUGGUCCUUACGGUGAGGAGGAUAUCCAUAUGUUUUACAGAAUGCUCCAGAUGAAGUGACAGUCAUCGCUCAUCGGUGCAUAGUGAAACCAGGUGUAGUCUUUUAUAUGUUCAAUGCUUUCUUCUCUCUGGAGCCAAUUUACACUAGUUUUCCGUCCACUGAUGAAGUAAAGCACUUAAUUGUAGCAGCAAUAAUAUGCAUAGUACAAAUUAGUUACUCACAAGAUUUGCCUCUUAUUAUGAUUGUACCUGAUGAGGGACGAGAAGCCACAAAAGCCACUAAAGGUCAGCCUCGGGAUACCAAGCUCCCUUGCGAUGUCACCAGUCCACCAGUGAAUCAGGUCAGAUAUGAUGCAGCUCGGAGGCGAGCGCUGCUGCUCAUGGAGGCAUGCCUUGAGCGGCUCCUGAAGCGCAGCGAUGGCAUAAGUUGGAGAGCAGAUCUAUGGAUUGGAUCAUGUCCAGGUUCUCGCACCCGUCCGGUAGGCCGAACUCGGCACUCGGGAAAUGGAGCUCCACGAGCCGUACUGCCAGGCCCGCCGCCUCCACAUCGGCUGCAAAGCCUGCCAACCUGGAGGCAUUCACUGGUGUGGUGAUGAAGCUAACCUGCGCGCCGUGCUCUGCCAGCAGGCGCGCCAUGUCGGUCAUGGGGAUUGUGUGCCCCUGCGCCAACAUCGGUACCAACACAAAGUGCGCCCUCGCGGAGCCGCUGUGGCCAUCACCGCUGCCGGUGAAGGUCAUGGCUGAUCGGCUAUUGUAGGAAAAGGACUGGUGGUGGAGUCAGUCAAACUGGGAAGACAGUGACACCGGCAAGAUAGCACGAUGUGUUGGGCACAAUCUGAUAAUGGUCGCAAUGGCAACUAUAGUGUAUGCAUAUAGCACCUGGUGCUAUGUCUUCCUAAGGAAAGAUGAUGAGCUGACGAUGCAACAGCAUAUCAAAUUGGUGACCUCUUGCUAGUGACGCAUGCUCUCACGUCAGUCAUGGAUUUGUGAAGUCAGCCAUGUGGAUGAAUCUUGUUAAGUUCUGAAUCAUCAGAAUCCAGGCCAUCGGAUCAGACAUCGAGGGCUCAGAUUAACCACAGCUACCGCCUGUCACGCUCAAAGGGGAGUCAUUUUUACAGGAUUUGGAUGAUCCUCAUGUCUGAUGCUGACUUGUCGUAUAUGCACACUACUUAACUCUCAAGGCUGUGGAAGGCCGAGCCAGCCGAUAUAAUAUGAUAGUGCAUUAUUUUCUGUGUGGAGAUUCGGUCAUUCAGUGUAAUGUGGGUCUGUGGUAGUGGGUGGAAUUUUCUUGUCUGUAUCCUUUCAGGGUUUUGUUGGUGAGAAGCUAAAAGGAUCUCCCAGUGAUAUGGAAAAUAUGAGUCCAUUUCUGGAGCGACGCAAUGCAUCCUAAUCAACACAGUGGCUUCCUGACGCAAAGAGGGACGAAAAGCCACAAAAGCCACUAAAGGUGAGCCUCGGGAUGCCGAGCUCCCUUGCGAUGUCACCGGUCCACCAGUGCGCCAUGUCAGAUAUGAUGCAGCUAGGAGGCGAGCGCUGCUGCUCACGGAGGUACGCCAUGAGCGGCUCAUGCAGCAUGGCACAUGCCUUCAUGAAGUUAAAGAACACAUUCUUUGAUUGGAUCAUGUCGAGGUUCUCGCACCCA